UACGUAGGGUGCGAGCGUUAAUCGGAAUUACUGGGCGUAAAGUGUGCGCAGGCGGCCUCGCAAGUCAAGUGUGAAAGCCCCGGGCUUAACCUGGGAACUGCGCUUGAAACUACGGGGGCUCGAGUGUGGCAGAGGAAGGUGGAAUUCCACGUGUAGCGGUGAAAUGCGUAGAGAUGAUGGAGGAACACCGAUGGCGAAGGGCAGCCCUUCUGGGCCAACACUGACGCUCAUGCACGAAAGCGUAGGGAGCAAACAGGAUUA
rnacentral:rRNA from 1 species